GAACUGGUGACCGCCUAGUAGUUAGAGCAUCUGCAUCUGAUGCGGGAGGUCGUGGGUUCAAUCCCCAAACCGAGUCAUAUCA